AGCGCCUCGGGCAGCGGGGGCUGAGCCGGGGCUCAGCGAGGGCAGAGAGGGCACCGUGUGCCGGGGCUCGGCCAGGCCAGCAGCCGCCGGCUGAACGGGCUGGAUGCUCAGAACAACGGAGACUCGGUGGGAAUGGGGCACGGCUCCGCUUGGGCUGCUGCUCUCCCUGCUCUGCCGGGUGUUCCUGCAAGGCUAAGCUGGAUCCAGGACAAGACCUUUCUACUGAGCAUCUCUGUGCUGGCUGGGGCUUUGAAGUCCCCAAAGUCAUUUUGAUCCCACACCUGCCUGACUGAUCAGAGGGUGAGCAGCAGCAGCAGCUUGUAGUUCCCAGAGAGGAUACACAGUGGAAGAUGUAGCCAACCUGGGCAAAACAGCUCUCCUGCCACACCUCCUCCCCAGCUCUGCUGGACAGCACAGACUACAGGAAGAGAAAACUUGCAAAGGACAUCAUACUGACUGAUAGUGGUAUCCUUCCCUCUUACCUAGCACUAUAGCACAGAAGAUGCACUAAGGAA
rnacentral:lncRNA from 12 species